UUACGGCCUCAGGUCUCACUGGCCCUAUAAACCAACAACAACAACAACAUUGGACUCGAACAACAUUUUAGCAGCAGAAAAUGUGGAAUAUUUUGGUGCAUCAGCUGAGAGACACAUGUUGACCUUGAUGGAAGCAUUCUAUGUGACUAUCAACACAUUAAGUAACAUGAAGUUAACAAUGGCUGCUACAGCAAGUGGUGAUUGUGCCAAGAUAAAACGUGUGGUUCUUGGAUAUCUACGUCAUCUCAGCCAAUACAUAUGUCUUCUCAGCCAUCAACAUUAUUUUUACUAGUAGAGCCUCACAGCUACUCUGGCUCAAUAACUCUUAUUCUGAGUCACCAUUAUCAGUCACAGCAGUUUGAAUCUUGUCUCUCCACCACAAAAAGAUGACUAGUGUACAGUGGCGUCAUGGGCUGCCCUGGGUGACGCCAAUCCUAGAAACGCCUCUGCUGGUGUACGUAUUAAAAAAUAACAUCAUU